AAUUUUUUUUUGUAUUUUUAGUAGAGACAGGGUUUCACCAUGUUGGCCAGGAUGGUCUCAAUCUCUUGACCCCCUCCACCUGCCUCGGCCUCCCAGAGUGCUGGUAUUACAGGCAUGAGCCACUGCGCCUGGCCUCUAUUAUUUAAUAUAACUUUAUAUCCUAAAUUAUGACCAGUUUUUCUGCAAGUACUUAUCCUAUUACAUUUACGUAAUUAUUUUAAUUGUUUUACCCUGAUUAUUUAUGAAAACUGUGAUAGUCGUGAUUUAAAGUUAUGAAACUGCCAUUGAAAAUUAUGACUGAGACAGUGAAAAAUUGUCUGUGCAUACUGCCUAAAGCCACAAGAUUCGAAGUUACGGUAAUAUUACUAAAUUCAAGAUGCAGCUAUUUUCAUUAAGCCCAUAUCAAUGUCUUAUUUAUUAAAAAUUACACAAGCAAAGAAUCGUUCUGUUUUGGGCUGGGCUUAU
rnacentral:lncRNA from 10 species